rnacentral:tRNA from 1 species
GGGGUUGUGGCUCAGUGGUAGAGUGCUCGCCUGGCAUGCGUGAAGCCCUGGAUUCCAUUCCCACCUCCA